GGCGCGUUCGUCUAGUGGCCUAGGACGCUGGCCUCUCACGCCGGUAACACGGGUUCGAGUCCCGUACGCGCUA
rnacentral:tRNA from 2 species